UACGGGGGGGGGUAAGCGUUGUUCGGAAUUACUGGGCGUAAAGGGCUCGUAGGCGGCCAACUAAGUCAUACGUGAAAUCCCUCAGCUUAACUGGGGAACUGCGUGUGAUACUGGAUGGCUUGGAUUUGGGAGAGGGAUGCGGAAUUCCAGGUGUAGCGGUGAAAUGCGUAGAUAUCUGGAGGAACACCGGUGGCGAAGGCAGUGUCCUGGCGAGUGACUGACGCUGAGGUGCGAAAGCCAGGGGAGCGAACGGG
rnacentral:rRNA from 1 species